GACGAACGCUGGCGGCGUGCUUAACACAUGCAAGUCGAACGGAAAGGCCCUGCUUUUGUGGGGUGCUCGAGUGGCGAACGGGUGAGUAACACGUGAGUAACCUGCCCUUGACUUUGGGAUAACUUCAGGAAACUGGGGCUAAUACCGGAUAGGAGCUCCUGCUGCAUGGUGGGGGUUGGAAAGUUUCGGCGGUUGGGGAUGGACUCGCGGCUUAUCAGCUUGUUGGUGGGGUAGUGGCAUACCAAGGCUUUGACGGGUAGCCGGCCUGAGAGGGUGACCGGCCACAUUGGGACUGAGAUACGGCCCAGACUCCUACGGGAGGCAGCAGUGGGGAAUAUUGCACAAUGGGCGGAAGCCUGAUGCAGCAACGCCGCGUGCGGGAUGACAGCCUUCGGGUUGUAAACCGCUUUCGCCUGUGACGAAGCAUGAGUGACGGUAAUGGGUAAAGAAGCACCGGCUAACUACGUG
rnacentral:rRNA from 1 species